CCUACGGGGGGCUGCAGUAGGGAAUAUUGCUCAAUGGGGGAAACCCUGAAGCAGCAACGCCGCGUGGAGGAUGAAGGUUUUCGGAUUGUAAACCCCUUUUGUUAGAGAAGAUAAUGACGGUAUCUAACGAAUAAGCACCGGCUAACUCCGUGCCAGCAGCCGCGGUAAUACGGAGGGUGCAAGCGUUACCCGGAAUCACUGGGCGUAAAGAGCGCGUAGGCGGGAUAGCAAGUCAGAUGUGAAAUCCUAGGGCUGAACCAUAGAACUGCAUUUGAAACUGUUAUUCUAGAGUAUGGGAGAGGUAGGUGGAAUUCUUGGUGUAGGGGUAAAAUCCGUAGAGAUCAAGAGGAAUACUCAUUGCGAAGGCGACCUGCUAGAACAAAACUGACGCUGAGGCGCGAAAGCGUGGGGAGCAAACAGGAUUAGAUACCCGAGUAGUC
rnacentral:rRNA from 1 species